rnacentral:rRNA from 1 species
GUAGGUGGCAAGCGUUGUCCGGAAUUAUUGGGCGUAAAGCGCGCGCAGGCGGUUCUUUAAGUCUGAUGUGAAAGCCCACGGCUCAACCGUGGAGGGUCAUUGGAAACUGGAGAACUUGAGUACAGAAGAGGAAAGCGGAAUUCCACGUGUAGCGGUGAAAUGCGUAGAGAUGUGGAGGAACACCAGUGGCGAAGGCGGCUUUCUGGUCUGUAACUGACGCUGAGGCGCGAAAGCGUGGGGAGCAAACAGGGAUUAGAUACCCUGGUAGUCCACGCCGUAAACGAUGAGUGCUAAGUGUUAGGGGGGUUUCCGCCCCCCUUAGUGCUGCAGCUAACGCAUUAAGCACUCCGCCGUGGGGAGUACGGCCGCAAGGCUA